rnacentral:rRNA from 1 species
UACGGGGGGGGCAAGCGUUGUUCGGAAUUACUGGGCGUAAAGCGCGUGUAGGCGGCUCUUCAAGUCGAGUGUGAAAGCUCCAGGCUUAACCUGGGAAUUGCGCUCGAUACUGUUGAGCUAGAGUGUGGAAGGGGCUACUGGAAUUCCGUGUGUACGCGGUGAAAUGCGUAGAUAUACGGAGGAACACCUGCGGCGAAGCGGGUGAGCUGGGCCA